rnacentral:lncRNA from 1 species
CCUUUAAGCUUAACACAUGUGAAACCUACUUCUUAGGCUUGUAUCCCUUGCUCCUGUAGACCUCAGUAUGUAGGGGAAGAACCACUGCAUGGACGUUUUCGUGCCUGACAAUUUCCCAUUAGUCUUCUCCUCCCUUAACCAAACCGCAAAAAUGGCCCAUUUUGACACUUUCGGGUCUUUAAUCCUCUAAUCUGUUUUCCUUGUGCUCCAGCCCAAUCCAAUACUUCCCCUGAGUCCUAAAUAAAGCUUAGAUGUCGUGGGUUUCAUGUAGAAAAGCCUUUCUUCAGCCCAUAGCUCCGAUUACAAAUCGUAGUCCAUUUCGGUAACAAAUGGUAUCUCCAUGUCUUCUUGCUCUCUAAAUGUCUUUUGCCCCUGAUUUCUUCACCAUAAAAUCCCUUGAUUUAUUCCACAUCAUUUCCAGGAUUGAAAGAAGUUGGUCCCCUCCACGUGGCAUGCUCCUAUUGGUUGCUCGGAUGGGUUAUAUGGACCAAUGGGGUUCUUUCUCUCUCCUUUGACUUUAGUUGACUUUGACAUCUGAGUUGACCAUUUCCAAAAGUUGAGGAAAUGUGUAAAACAUUCCUUUGAACUCCUUUCCCAUGUUUGCACAACUCCUUUUGGCUUUCUUUGCCCUCAACUAGCUUGUUUCGACCAUAUAGGCCAAAACCGUCUUCCUCCAGACCAUCUUGGUCUUCCUCCGGACCAUCUUGGUN